CCUUGAUUUCCGAACUUGAACCCAUUAGAUUUUUGCAUCUGGGGCUAUCUAAAAGAGCACGUGUAUGUGCAAUGAGUGGAUACUGUGGAUGCCCUGCAUCAUUGCGUGGAAAUGCCUUUGAGAACAUGCGAGAGAAUGUUGGUCUUUGCGAACAUUUGCAUGCCUCUUGAAGAGAAGAGCUUGAAGCAUGCUGCCGUGUUGAUGAUGGACAUUUUGAGCAUUUGGUAUGAGUUCAAGGUACAUGAAACACUACCAAAGGAACACCUAUAUGGGUUGUUGCUCCAUUUGUCAAUAAAGUCAUCAUUUCUUGGAAACAGUGCAUUGUUCGACCUAUGUUCAUUGGGG
rnacentral:lncRNA from 1 species